rnacentral:lncRNA from 1 species
GAGCACUUUCCCCCAUGCUGUUCUUAUGAUAGUGAGUGAGUUCUCAAGAGAUCUGAUGGUUUUAUAAGCAUCUGGCAUUUCUCCCACUGGCAUUCAUUCUCUCUCCUGCUGCCCUGUGAAGAGGAGCCUUCAGCCAUGAUUUUAAGUUUCCUGAUGCCUCCCCAGCUAUGCAGAACUAUUUUUGCAUUUCUGACUACUGAUGGCUCCACCUGAACUCAUGAACUGGUCCUGUGGCUCCCACCCAGGAACCAACUCAGUGCAAGAGGAUGGCUUCGACUCUAUGAUUUCAUCUAUCACCCAACCAAUCAGAACUCCCCACUCCUUGGCCUCCUACCCACCAAACUAUCCUUGAAAAGCCCUAGUCUCUGAACUUUUGAGGGGACCAAUUUGAGUAAUAAUAAAGCUCCAGGCUCCCAUUCAGCUGGCUUGGCAUGAAUUAAUCUCUUUCUCUAUUGCAAUCCCCCUGUCUUGAUGAAUUGGCUGUAUCUGG